GGGCACCGCCAAGACACGCUUCGGAGCGACACACGGAGUAUCUCUCGAGAUCUCGACCCCCCUCGGGGGGAUUGGCUCUGAGGAAAGUCCCCGGGCAUUCGGGCAGAGAGUGCCAGCCAUGACGGCACGGGCCCCGCGACGCGGGCGCACGGAGAGGGUCGCCCCUGUUCGUCUCUUCUCUCCGGAGGACAGUGACGGGAGGGGCGCCCGAGUCUGCCCGCGCGCGGGUCCCCGCCGCGAUUGGUCUACAGUCAUGCGUGUCGGGGCCUCGCCUCUCCUGGGGCGGGCCCUCGAACAGAACGGGGCUUACUCUGGCGGUGACU
rfam:Emiliania huxleyi CCMP1516 EMIHTscaffold_40_Cont1749, whole genome shotgun sequence.